GGUUUAAUAUUUUAAUAAGAAUAUGGUUUUGAAGCAGCUAAGAUGGGGUUAUCUCCUUGAACCA
rnacentral:tRNA from 1 species